UACAGAGGUCUCAAGCGUUGUUCGGAUUCAUUGGGCGUAAAGGGUGCGUAGGCGGUGGGGCAAGUCAGGUGUGAAAUCCCGGAGCUCAACUCCGGAACUGCACUUGAUACUGCCUUGCUAGAGUACUGGAGAGGAGACUGGAAUUUACGGUGUAGCAGUGAAAUGCGUAGAGAUCGUAAGGAAGACCAGUGGCGAAGGCGGGUUGCUGGGCUGAUACUGACGCUGAGGCGCGAAAGCCAGGGGAGCGAACGGG
rnacentral:rRNA from 1 species